UAGAAAUUAGUUAAUAUAUAACAUUAAAAUGUCAUUUUAAAAUAAUUAAUAAAUUAAUAUUUCUAA
rnacentral:tRNA from 1 species